UCUUUAUAGCUUGCUAUGAAGAAUAAUUAGUGGCAGACGGGUGAGUAAUGCAUAGGAAUCUACCUAGUAGUAUGGGAUAGCCACUAGAAAUGGUGGGUAAUACUGUAUAAUCCCUGCGGGGGAAAGAUUUAUCGCUAUUAGAUGAGCCUAUGUUAGAUUAGCUAGUUGGUAGGGUAAAGGCCUACCAAGGCGAUGAUCUAUAGCUGGUCUGAGAGGAUGAUCAGCCACACUGGAACUGAGAUACGGUCCAGACUCCUACGGGAGGCAGCAGUGGGGAAUAUUGGACAAUGGGCGCAAGCCUGAUCCAGCUAUGCCGCGUGAGUGAGGAAGGCCUUAGGGUUGUAAAACUCUUUCAGUAGGGAAGAUAAUGACGGUACCUACAGAAGAAGUCCCGGCAAACUCCGUGCCAGCAGCCGCGGUAAUACGGAGGGGGCAAGCGUUGUUCGGAAUUAUUGGGCGUAAAGGGCAUGUAGGCGGUUCGGUAAGUUAAAGGUGAAAUGCCAGGGCUUAACCCUGGAGCUGCU
rnacentral:rRNA from 1 species